AACGUAGGGGGCGAGCGUUGUCCGGAAUUACUGGGCGUAAAGGGUGCGUAGGCGGCUAUUUAAGUCAGAUGUGAAAGGCUACGGCUCAACCGUAGUAAGCAUUUGAAACUGAAUAGCUUGAGUCAAGGAGAGGGAAGUGGAAUUCCUGGUGUAGCGGUGAAAUGCGUAGAUAUCAGGAGGAAUACCAGUGGCGAAGGCGACUUCCUGGCCUUAGACUGACGCUGAGGCACGAAAGCGUGGGGAGCAAACAGG
rnacentral:rRNA from 1 species